rnacentral:misc_RNA from 1 species
GAGCAGGGUCAGCGGGAGUUCCGGGGCCGUCAUGUCGAUCUCGCGCGACUGGCACGACAGCACGCGGUCGAAACGCAGCGCCGAGAUCAGGCGGCGCGGAACGCAAUCACCGGCGAGGAUAUCCUCGCAGUCUAUCCGCCGCAUGGCGACGACCAGACGCUUCUCGUUCUGCCGCCAGAGGAUGUCGCCCGCGACCACCGCCGCAUCCUGGAUGUGGGCGGAGAUCACCGCGAGAUCGUCUUCAUCCAGCGCGGCCAGCUU